rnacentral:lncRNA from 1 species
AUGUAAUACCUCCUUACCGCAUUUCGAAUAUUAGGACAAUAAGAUGAAAUAGGCAUUCGAUCUUUGGGAUCUGCUUCAAGAGAUUUAAAAUCAAGCAUAUUAUCCAUAUUUGAAAGUGGAAAAGAAUUUGUAUGUCUUUGAACUUCCGGAGCAACUUGUGAACUCACAAAUGGUUGAUUAGAGCUAGAACUUGGUUGGCCAUCUUUUGGCUUUGGUAACUUGAUGAGAAACUUAUCCAUUUGUGAUUUGAUGAAUUGAUUGUAAGAAUUAUUUUACCUACAAAAUUAAAUAUUCACACUUCUAUUCAAUCUUAUAAAAACAAAAUAAUUUUAAAAAAAUAUUAGCACAAAUAACAAGUUUACUAAUAAAAGAAUCACA